rnacentral:rRNA from 1 species
CGGGGGCCUGCACAAGCGGUGGAGUAUGUGGUUUAAUUCGACGCAACGCGCAGAACCUUACCUAGACUUGACAUCCCGGGGAUUUUCUGGAAACAGAGAAGUGCUUUAGCAAUAAAGAACCCGGUGACAGGUGCUGCAUGGCUGUCGUCAGCUCGCGUCGUGAGAUGUUGGGUUAAGUCCCGCAACGAGCGCAACCCUCGCCUUUAGUUGCCAGCAUUCAGUUGGGCACUCUAGGGGGACUGCCGGUGUCAAGCCGGAGGAAGGUGGGAUGACGUCAAGUCCUCAUGGCCUUUAUGUCUAGGGCUACACACGUACUACAAUGGCCGGUACAAAGGGCAGCCACUCAGCGAUGAGGCGCUAAUCCCAUAAAGCCGGUCUCAGUCCGGAUCGCAGUCUGCAACUCGACUGCGUGAAGUUGGAAUCGCUAGUAAUCGUAGAUCAGCAUGCUACGGUGAAUACGUUCCCGGGCCUU